rnacentral:lncRNA from 1 species
CUGGGGUCCCGGCUGCAUGUUGAUGGAGUUGCUGUCUUCUGGCCGCGUCCCUGCCGCCUCCAGGAUCAGGAGAGACCUGUGGGUCCUGCAGACACUGGACCUCGAGGGAUGCUGAACAGCAGAUCAUCCCCACGCAGUUUCUUGCCGAGACCUGGUAAACAGCGGCGUCGCUCUGGGUACAGCUAGGAAGAGGAUAGACAG